UCCUACUUCUUGCUCGCGGCACCAACACGAGACAGCGGCAACCUCUGGACACGGGCAUGGCAGAGAGACGUCGAGGCUUCCUGUAACGUCCAAGACUUGCGGAUCUUUACCGCCACCCAGACAAUGACCAACUUGCUGACGGCACUUCCCAGAAGACCUCAUGAGGAAAAAAAUCGGCGGCGGCAGAGCUUACCGCGACUUCGAGCCAUGCAGCCGCCUAUUCGGAAGCCCUUCUCGCCCGAGCAGCGAACGCGGCCAGGACCGCGUCGUCAAUCGGCCGCCGGCAUUUGGAGCCGUCCUUUCGAUGCUGCCGGGCACGCCGGCGCGCGCCAGGGAAGAGCCGCCGGUGGCCGCCUCCUCGCCGGUGCUCGUGGCAGGUGACAAACACCAGGUGCAUCAAGAAUACUUCUGGAUCAGAAUCAAUGCAUGCGUCAGCCCCUGAAGAGAGAGCGGAAGCCUAGUCAGGAUACCCAUACACAAGCGGGUCCGAGCCCCUUCCUGCUCGCUGCUGCCAGUGUUUCCCGGAGCUCGCGCAGCGGCAUCGACGCCGAUGUCGAAGGAGCCGAUGGGUUACUUCCUGCGGCUGGAUCAUCGCCGAAAGCGUCCAAGGAAACAGCAGACUCGUCAUUGUUGCAGCACGUUUACCUUCACCGAAUGACAAGCUCCUGAUGCCUUAUUGACGAACUGCGUCGUAGAACCCAGUUGACAAGGUCGUUCAUUGUAGUACAUACUGCUGUUCGGAGAAAUGGAAGGCCGGAGAAAUGGAAGGCCGUAUCUAUUUCAAUAGAAAUAGACGUAAAAUAUCCCUGUGGUAGAUAUCGCAGUUCUGUCACAUUUCAGGCGGACGCAUGCUUGCAAGACAAAUCGCGAACAAACACGAAGUGGAGACCAUUUCAUUAAUUAGCUUUGUAAUUAUCCGCUUUAGUGUCACAACUGCGGAAUCGAUCCGAGCAGUAAUGAAUUCGUAUCUAUAUAGUAGAAAUCGUGUGUUUAGCACCAGCUAAUGUCGAACUAUGCUACACACAGUUGUGCGGUGAACGUUGUUACGUGUGCAUAAAUUAAAUAUUCUCAGAAACUACAUGGUUAGCUACCUAGAUGCGCUACAAAAUUUAUACUGAGUUGCUCAAAACGACCUCGAAGAAUAUGCCGUAGAUGUCAUCCAUCCGCGAUGUAGUGCUUUUCUUAGAAGUCUUCCAAGUGCAAACAAACAAACAAACAAGCAAGAAAGCAAGCAAACCAACAAAUGAAUGAAAAGAAACAAACUGACUCAGCAACAAGCAAGCAAACAAAAACAAAAAACACAGAACGGGAAGGCUGGGCGCUCCGAGGGGAAUGGGGAUAAAUACGGCUUGCCUUAAUAACGCCAUUUUUGCCAAAAGUGUCACUGAUUGAUAUCUGUAUCUGCGUCCGCCACAUCCGUAUAAGUUUCGCUGCUAAGGCAUGUAUACAUAAUGGCAAAAUGCCUUGGCGUGUUUGCGUUUGUUCUCGGCGGAAAUAUAAAAUAAUAGCUGCGGCGCCAGUCGGCUUGACACUUUGCGCUAUGUUGCUUCUCAUGCGUUCAGAAUUUAUUGCACGUGCAAGCGCCCUGCACAACAACCAAAUAAAAUAAAUAAAGGUAUACUCGUACCACUUGUUUUCUGCA